UAAGUUUUGAAUUUCAUAACUCUAAUCAGCGUUUAUUUAUCAUUAUUUAUUGCAACAAAACGUACAUGUAUAUGUAUUAGGAGGAAAUUAUUAUGAACAACGGUACAGUAAAAUGGUUUAACGCAGACAAGGGUUUUGGUUUUAUUACUGGUGAAGAUGGCAAAGACGUAUUUGCUCAUUUCUCAGCUAUCCAAGGUGACGGUUACAAGUCAUUAGACGAAGGCCAAGCAGUAUCAUUUGAUGUUGAAGACAGCGACCGCGGUCCUCAAGCAACAAACAUCGUUAAACUUUAAUAAUGUUUUAAACCUCGCUUAUGCGAGGUUUUUU
rnacentral:misc_RNA from 1 species